rnacentral:rRNA from 1 species
UACGGGGGGGGCAAGCGUUGUUCGGAAUUACUGGGCGUAAAGGGCUCGUAGGCGGCCAACUAAGUCGGACGUGAAAUCCCUCGGCUUAACCGGGGAACUGCGUCCGAUACUGGAUGGCUUGAGUUCGGGAGAGGGAUGCGGAAUUCCAGGUGUAGCGGUGAAAUGCGUAGAUAUCUGGAGGAACACCGGUGGCGAAGGCGGCAUCCUGGACCGACACUGACGCUGAGGAGCGAAAGCAUGGGGAGCGAACGGG